AUUGAACGCUGGCGGCAGGCCUAACACAUGCAAGUCGAGCGAGCGGCGGACGGGUGAGUAAUGUAUGGGGACUGCUCGAUUGAGGGGGAUAACUACUUGAAACGGUGGCUAAUACCGCAUACUAUCGGAUAACCCAUAUGGGUUUAGCUAGUAGGUGGGGUAAAGGCUCACCUAGGCGACGAUCUCUAGCUGGUCUGAGAGGAUGAUCAGCCACACUGCGACUGAUACGCGGCCCAGACUCCUACGGAGGGAGCAGUGGGGAAUAUUGCACAAGUGACGCAAGCCUAAUGCGGCCAUGCCGAGUGUAUGAAGAAGGCCUUAGGGUUGUAAAGUACUUUCAGCGGGGAGGCGUUACUCGCAGAAGAAGCACCGGCUAACUCCGUGCCAGCAGCCGCGGUAAUAC
rnacentral:rRNA from 1 species